CGUGGCCACCACUUGGGAUCUGUAUGUCGUCGUCGCCCCUUUGCUCUGGUUUACUGCCUCAGUAGCCCUUGCUGGAAACAACACCGGUGACCUAACUCCUCCGUCCUCUAAUCCAGUGAGCUACUGGAUGAAGUAGGAAGGAUUCCAGCAGCAAACGAUCCUACUUCCAACAGUGAUAAAACGGCUGUGAGUUUCAGGAUCUUGACGCGAGACGAGUAUCUUGGAGUCAGAUUU